rnacentral:lncRNA from 1 species
AUUGGCACCCUUGUGGCCAGGCCUGCUCCCAGAGCAGAAUCUGGAUCUAGAGGAGGGGGCAACCCCGUCCCUACUCUCCAAGGGCAGGACACACACACACACACACACACACACACACACACACACGAGCACUCGACACAGGCGAAGAAAACGCAUAAACAAAUGCAGAGUCAUCACCAGCUGCAGGAGCUUUACGCGGCCAUGCCAGGGGCGGACAGAACGAGCAGAGAACCGGAGGCGCUGAGUCCAAACAGCUGUGUGCUGUGCUCAGGAGCUAACGCCAAGGGGAAAGAUUCACCCUGAGCUAACAUCUGCUGCAAAUCCUCCUCUUUUUGCUGAAGAAGACUGGCCCUGAGCUAACAUCCGUGCCCAUCUUCCUCUACUUUCUAUGUGGGACGCCUGCCAAGCAGUGCCAUGUCCGCACCCGGGAUCCGAACUGGCAAACCCCAGGCUGUCAAAGCAGAACAUGCGCACUGUACUGCUGCGCCACUGGGCCGGCCCCAAAAGAGCACUGAAUUUUAACCACUAGGCCAUCAUGACUGGCUCCUUUUUUUUUUCAAGCCAGGAAAUGGACAUUGGUACAAUCCACAGACAUUCAGAUUUCACCAGUUUUACAUGGGGGUGUGUGUGUGUAGUUUCAUGCAAUUUUAUCACGCAUAGAUUCGUGUAACCACCUCUAUAAUCAAGACAGAGAACUACUCCAUUUGCAGAGAUCCCUCUGCAGUCACACAUACCCCUCUGCUCGUCCUUAACCACCCCUCCUCCCCAACCCCUGCCAGCCACUAAUCUGCUCUCCAUCUGUAUAACUAUGUCAUUUUGAGAAUGUCACAUAAAUGGAAUCAUGCAGUAUGUGCCCUUUCGAAGCUGACUUUUUUC